AACCACAUCCAGCAGGGGGUGCUGUUUUUAUUUACAGUGGAAUCUCACCCUAAGGUGUACAAUUCGUAAUUUCGCUGUGAAAACACUGUUUCAUCGUAUUGAAUUGAGGUGGAUUGCGGUGAACUUGAGGGAUUGCAAUGAACUUGAGUGAACUUCUUUUUACACUUGUGUGACAAAAGUAUU